rnacentral:rRNA from 1 species
CCUACGGGUGGCAGCAGUGGGGAAUAUUGGGCAAUGGGCGCAAGCCUGACCCAGCAACACCGCGUGAAGGAAGAAGGCUUUCGGGUUGUAAACUUCUUUUGUCAGGGAAGAGUAGAAUACUGUACCUGACGAAUAAGCCACGGCUCACUACGUGCCAGCAGCCGCGGUAAUACGUAGGUGGCAAGCGUUGUCCGGAUUUACUGGGUGUAAAGGGCGUGUAGCCGGGUUGACAAGUCCGAUGUGAAAUCCUGCGGCUUAACCGCAGAACUGCAUUUGAAACUGUUGAGCUUGAGUCCUGGAGAGGCAGACGGAAUUCCUAGUGUAGCGGUGAAAUGCGUAGAUAUUAGGAGGAACACCAGUGGCGAAGGCGGUCUGCUGGACAGCAACUGACGGUGAGGCGCGAAAGCGUGGGGAGCAAACAGGAUUAGAUACCCGGGUAGUC